ensembl:lncRNA
UGUGUGUGUCCUCUGUCAGUGAUUGACUGUGUGCGGCAUUACCCUGCAGUCACUUUAACACACACACAGGUAAUGAAGCUGACACACACACACACAGGUAAGGAAGCUGUCAGUGGUGUCAGGGAGUAGAGGCUUAUGACGUAACUAUCCAACUGUAUAUUCUUACACAGCAUGGCAGUAGUGUGCAGAGGACACACACACACGGGCACACAGACACACACACACACAUACAGGUAGAGAGAGAACGAGAACAGAGAGAGAGAACAGAGAGGGAGAACAGAGAGACAGAGGGGAAGAACAGAGAGAGAGAGAACAGAGAGACAGAGAGGGAGAACAGAGAGAACGAGAACAGAGAGAGAGAGAGAGAACAGAGAGACAGAGGGAGAGAACAGAGAGACAGAGGGAGAGAACAGAGAGAGAGAGAGAGAACAGAGAGACAGAGAGAGAGAACAGAGAGACAGAGAGAGAGAACAGAGAGAGAGAACAGAGAGAGAGAACAGAGAGACAGAGAGGG